GGAAGACGUGCGUAAGGUAGCGCAGCCCGUUUCGAACGCGGGCGUGGUGUGAAAGCCACGGGGUUCGAGUCCUCCGUCUUCCGC
rnacentral:tRNA from 2 species